rnacentral:rRNA from 1 species
GAAGCAGCGCUGCUACCAUGCAGUCGACGGUGAACACGGAGCUUGCUCUGUGGGAUCAGUGGCGAACGGGUGAGUAACACGUGAGCAACCUGCCCCUGACUCUGGGAUAAGCGCUGGAAACGGCGUCUAAUACUGGAUAUGUGACGUGACCGCAUGGUCUGCGUUUGGAAAGAUUUUUCGGUUGGGGAUGGGCUCGCGGCCUAUCAGCUUGUUGGUGAGGUAAUGGCUCACCAAGGCGUCGACGGGUAGCCGGCCUGAGAGGGUGACCGGCCACACUGGGACUGAGACACGGCCCAGACUCCUACGGGAGGCAGCAGUGGGGAAUAUUGCACAAUGGGCGAAAGCCUGAUGCAGCAACGCCGCGUGAGGGAUGACGGCCUUCGGGUUGUAAACCUCUUUUAGCAGGGAAGAAGCGAAAGUGACGGUACCUGCAGAAAAAGCGCCGGCUAACUACGUGCCAGCAGCCGCGGUAAUACGUAGGGCGCAAGCGUUAUCCGGAAUUAUUGGGCGUAAAGAGCUCGUAGGCGGUUUGUCGCGUCUGCUGUGAAAUCCCGAGGCUCAACCUCGGGCCUGCAGUGGGUACGGGCAGACUAGAGUGCGGUAGGGGAGAUUGGAAUUCCUGGUGUAGCGGUGGAAUGCGCAGAUAUCAGGAGGAACACCGAUGGCGAAGGCAGAUCUCUGGGCCGUAACUGACGCUGAGGAGCGAAAGGGUGGGGAGCAAACAGGCUUAGAUACCCUGGUAGUCCACCCCGUAAACGUUGGGAACUAGUUGUGGGGUCCAUUCCACGGAUUCCGUGACGCAGCUAACGCAUUAAGUUCCCCGCCUGGGGAGUACGGCCGCAAGGCUAAAACUCAAAGGAAUUGACGGGGACCCGCACAAGCGGCGGAGCAUGCGGAUUAAUUCGAUGCAACGCGAAGAACCUUACCAAGGCUUGACAUAUACGAGAACGGGCCCAGAAAUGGUCAACUCUUUGGACACUCGUAAACAGGUGGUGCAUGGUUGUCGUCAGCUCGUGUCGUGAGAUGUUGGGUUAAGUCCCGCAACGAGCGCAACCCUCGUUCUAUGUUGCCAGCACGUAAUGGUGGGACUCAUGGGAUACUGCCGGGGUCAACUCGAGAAGGUGGGAUGACGUCAAUCAUCAUGCCCCUUAUGUCUGGGCUCACGCAUGCUACAUGGNCNGNNCAANGNNUGCCAAUACCGGUNAGGUGGNANNGGAAUCCCCNANA